UGAAUACGAGAUGCUACGGCGUCGAAGCAGUCUAUGUCAUACUUCCAAGAAAAGCUUGCACUGUCAUAAACAAAUAAUGCCUGUACCAUAACCGACACAGGUGGGUAGGUAGAGUAUACUAAGGGGCGCGAGAUAACUCUCUCUAAGGAACUCGGCAAAAUGACUCCGUAACUUCGGGAGAAGGAGUGCCUUAUUUAUAAGGUUGCAAUAACAAGAUCCAAGCAACUGUUUACCAAAAACACAGGUCUCCGCUAAGUCGUAAGACGAUGUAUGGGGGCUGACGCCUGCCCAGUGCCAGAAGGUUAAAGAAGUUGGUUAGCAUCCGCGAAGCUGAUAACUGAAGCCCUGGGGAACGGCGGCCGUAACGAUAACGGUCCUAAGGUAGCGAAAUUCCUUGUCGGGUAAGUUCCGACCCGCACGAAAGGCGUAAUGAUUUGGAUACUGUCUCGGAGAGGGGCUCGGUGAAAUAGACUUGUCUGUGUAGAUGCGGACUACCUGCACCAGGACAGAAAGACCCUAUGAAGCUUUACUGUAACCUGAAAUUGAAAUUGGACUUUACUUGCGCAGUAUAGGUGGGAGGCGUUGAGAAUAUUCUUGCGGGAUUAUUGGAGCCAUCAGUGAGAUACCACUCUUGUAAUGUUAGAUUUCUAACUUUGUAUCAUUAUCUGGUCAAAGAACAGUUUCAGGCGGGCAGUUUGACUGGGGCGGUCGCCUCCUAAACGGUAACGGAGGCGCACAAAGGUUUCCUCUGAACGGGUAGAAAUCGCAUCUAGAGUGUAAAGGCAUAAGGAAGCUUGACUGUGAGACCUACAAGUCGAGCAGGGACGAAAGUCGGUCUUAGUGAUCUGACGGUGCUGAGUGGAAAGGCCGUCACUCAUCGGAUAAAAGUUACUCUAAGGAUAACAGGCUGAUCUCCCCCAAGAGUUCACAUCGACGGGGAGGUUUGGCACCUCGAUGUCGGCUCAUCGCAUCCUGGGGCGGUAGUACGUCCCAAGGGUUGGGCUGUUCGCCCAUGAAAGCGGUACGCGAGCUGGGUUCAGUACGUCGUGGGACAGUUCGGUCCAUAUCCGGUGUAGGCGUUAGAAUAUUGAGAGGAGCCUUCUUUAGUACGAGAGGACCGAGAAGGACAUACCUCUGGUGUACCAGUUAUCGUGCCAACGGUAAACGCUGGGUAGCUAUGUGUGGAGUGGAUAACCGCCGAAAGCAUCUAAGUGGGAAGCCCACCUCAAGAUAAGUAUUCGC
rnacentral:rRNA from 1 species